AAAAUUCACUUUGGUUGGCAUGUUUUUUUCUAAAAGUUUAACUUUUUUUUUUUUUAAAGGAUGCAAUCUAUUAUAAACUUCAUCAGCAUGAAGAAAUGAAAACUAGAGGUUCUCCUAGGAAAAAUAAAUAAUCCAGUAAGGGAGGAGGACAGUAAUGUCUCUGAGACUCAGGAAUUCUGACUCCUUUUUUGCAAGAUAACACUGUAUUGGAUAAUGCUUCUUUUACGUGUGCUGUGGACUGUUUUUCACUGAGUUUGAGUAGACCGGUUAACCCGAUAGUAAUUUGUGUGUGUGUGUGUGAAAACAACAAUAAUGCCUGAAGGUGAUGUUCUGUAUGUGUGAAUUUCAUGUAGAUAUACAUACCAAGGUUUAAUUGCUCUAACACACACAAGUCAUCUGAUACAAAAAGUGACAUAUUGCCUAUUUUGUAGUUAUUUUGCGUGUUUGUAAGGAUGCUUUCAGUCUUCCAAGGUUUGUGUUACCUUCUAACAGUAUGAUUUUGCCUCCUUUUUGUAAGGCUGUUUAUAGGGUCCAGGCAGUUUUCAUUGUGUUGAGAAUAGCAAGCCUUCAGGGUUGUUGGGAAGCAGAGAUUUGAUAGCCUCUAGCAGUCUUACUGUGAGGAUGUAUGGUACUCACGUAACUUGGCAUCUGCGCCUUCCCUGAUAGUGGAAGUUCAGUUUUAUUCUUUAAAUAUGUAUCCUUUGCAGACUGCUGUUCUUGGGCCUUGAGACCUAAAGAACUGAACUAUUUAAAUGAAACAACAAAGUUCAGAUUGUCUCCUUUUUGCUGGUUUGGGGUUUGGGGUUUUGUUUGAUUGGUGUGUUUUUGAAAAGGCGAUCUGUGUAUACCUGGAAGUGUUCAUUUACACAUCUCUGCCUCUGACAGCUCCUGUGUGAAAACAAGAGAGCCAGAUAACUCUUUGAUGGCGUUAUUUGUCAUCAUAAUAGAAUUGAGCCCUUUCUUAACUAAAAGUUGGUUGGUUUUUUGCUUUUUUGUUUGUUUGUUUCUUGGAAAGAACAAUCCAUCAGUAAAUGAACUGAUCUGAACUUUGCUCCAUCUUGCCAAAUCAACAGUAUUUCGAAGAGGGUAUCUCUCUCUUUGCAUUUUUUAACUAACUUCAGGUUGUGUUGAUUGUUUGAGAACAUUUCCCGAUUACGUAUUUUGAAGUGCUUUUAUUUCCAUCACAUUUUGUAACCAGAGUAACUUCACUAUGUGAACACUUUUGUAGUAUGGAAUUAGUUCUUAAGACUUUUGCAUUUUGCUUGAUACUUGUAAUAUUUGUGUACAAGUUAAUGGGAAAUGUGCAUUAAAAGGAAUUUUUCUGUACCAUGCCAAUCAUAAUUUUAUACAAUAAAUUCACUGAAAUUUCUUUAAAGGAA